UACGGAGGGAGCUAGCGUUGUUCGGAUAUACUGGGCGUAAAGCGCACGUAGGCGGCGCGGUAAGUCAGGGGUGAAAUCCCGGAGCUCAACUCCGGAACUGCCCUUGAAACUGCAGUGCUAGGAUUCUGGAGAGGCGAGUGGAAUUCCGAGUGUAGAGGUGAAAUUCGUAGAUAUUCGGAAGAACACCAGUGGCGAAGGCGACUCGCUGGACAGACAUUGACGCUGAGGUGCGAAAGCGUGGGGAGCAAACAGG
rnacentral:rRNA from 1 species